rnacentral:rRNA from 1 species
GGUUGAUCCUGCCAGAAGUCAUAUGCUUGUCCCAAAGAUUAAGCCAUGCAUGUCUAAGUAUAAGUGCUUUAUACUGUGAAACUGCGAAUGGCUCAUUAAAUCAGUUAGAGUUUUUUUGAUAAAUUUUUGCUACUUGGAUACCUGUAGUAAAUCUAGAGCUAAUACAUGCCUCUAAACCCGACUUUUUGAAGGGUGGUGUUUAUUAGAAUUUUCAAACCAUCGAUGAAGUUUACUUCAUGUUUGAUGACUCAUGAUAAAUUUACGAAUCGCAAGACUUUAUGUUGGCGAUGUAUCAAUUAAAUUUCUGCACUAUUAACUUUUGAUGUAAGUGUAUUGUACUUACAUGGUUUUGAUGGUUAACGGAGGAUUAGGGUUUGAUUCCGGAGAGGGAGCCUGAGAAAUGGCUACCACAUCCAAGGAAGGCAGCAGGCGCGCAAAUUACCCAAUCUCAAUACGAGGAGGUAGUGACAAUAAAUAACAAUGCAGGGCUUUUUAAGUCUUGCAAAUUGGAAUGAGUACAAUUUAAAACCCUUAACGAGAAACAAUUGGAGGGCAAGUCUGGUGCCAGCAGCCGCGGUAAUUCCAGCUCCAAUAGCGUAUAUUUAUGUUGUUGCAGUUGAAAAGCUCGUAGUUGGAUUUGAGGUUUAGGGAUAUGGUCUCAUCUUCGGAUGUUGUACUGUAUUUCUUUAUCUUUUACAUGAGAAGGUAUUCUGUUCUUUAUUGGAUGGUUUAUUGACUCAUGUCUUUUACUUUGAAAAAAUUAGAGUGUUCAAAGCAGGCUUAUGCCUUGAAUACAUUAGCAUGGAAUAAUAAGAUAGGACUUUUGUCUAUUUUGUUGGUUUUUAUGGACUGAAGUAAUGAUUAAUAGGGGCAGUUGGGGACAUUAAUAUUUAAUUGUCAGAGGUGAAAUUCUUGGAUUUAUUAAAGAUUAACUACUGCGAAAGCAUUUGUCAAGGAUGUUUUCAUUAAUCAAGAACGAAAGUUGGGGGAUCGAAGACGAUCAGAUACCGUCGUAGUCUCAACCAUAAACUAUGCCGACGAGAAAUUAGUGAAUGUUUAUUCAUUGACUUCAUUAGCUUCUUCCGAGAAAUCAAAGUUUUUGGGUUCUGGGGGGAGUAUGGUCGCAAGGCUGAAACUUAAAGGAAUUGACGGAAGGGCACCACCAGGAGUGGAGCCUGCGGCUUAAUUUGACCCAACACGGGAAAACUUACCAGGUCCAGGCAUAAGAAGGAUUGACAGAUUGAGAGCUCUUUCUUGAUUUUAUGGGUGGUGGUGCAUGGCCGUUCUUAGUUGGUGGAGUGAUUUGUCUGCUUAAUUGCGAUAACGAACGAGACCUUAACCUACUAAAUA